rnacentral:piRNA from 1 species
UGGCAUUCUUGGGUCUAUCAGCUUUGCUU